GACGAACGCUGGCGGCGUGCUUAACACAUGCAAGUCGAACGGAGAAGCGCCUUCCUUUUUGGUUGGUUUGGAUGAGUGGCGAACGGGUAAGUAACACUUCAGUAACCUGCCCCCUUCUUCUGUAUAACCGCAUAAACGCGUUGCUAAUACGGGAUAUUCUGAUUCUUUCUCAUGAUGGGUCUGGGAAAGAUAUUGUUUCGGUGAGGGAUGGACCCGCGGCCUAUCAGCUAGUUGGUGGUUUAAUGGCCUAACAAGGCGAUGACGGGUGGACGGCCUGAGAGGGUGGGCGGCCAGACAGGGGCUGAGGCACCGGCAAUACUACUAGGGGACGCAGUAGUGAACAAUAUCGAACGAUGGGAGGCAUGCCGAUGCAACGACGCAGCGGGUGCGAAGGAGGCCGGCGCGUUGUAAACCGCUUUUGACAGUGAAGCAUGACUUCAUUGUUUGUGCGCGGAUUGACGGUAGCUGGUGAAGAAGCGCGGGCUAACUACGUG
rnacentral:rRNA from 1 species